AAAAAGCCCUGAAACCUAAAUCCCUCCCCCUAACCCCUUUCAUCUUCUUUCUUACGAGGUCAUGGUCAAUGGAGGAGGAGAAAAAGAAAACUGCCGCUUAAUCUUCGCCGACAGCGCAUCGUAACUGAGGGGCCGGUAAGCUAAUGGAGUGGGAAAGAGAUGAAGAAUGUGUGAGGAAGAAAAGGAGUGGCAAGGAAAGAACACGUUGGCACUGUAGCAAUACGCCAUCGUUCGAGUCAUUUGGAAUUUGAGACGACCCAAUUUUUAUACGAGCACAUGACCAUCCAUUUUAAACGGGUAGGAAUAAUGCUCUUAUUUGGGGAAUUCCUCUUCAUCUAUGUAUUAGCG
rnacentral:lncRNA from 1 species